UAGUCCGAGCGGUUUCAUCAUCUUAGAUCCACAUACUGCGUGCAGAUUCUGUCUGCUUUUAGGAUAUACAAAAAUACCUAAUAAAUAAGGAAAAGAUCCUCAAUCUGUGCUUUCUGAACAGGAUUUUAGCCUGCAGGCAAACCAGAAGCUGAGCACCCCAUCUACUCCUUACCAGGCUUGUUACUAGAGUUUCAAAGCCCACUCAGACGCAAGUUCAAUACCUUCAGUUCCUGUACAAAUGGUGUAGGAGAAGAAACUGGCGUGUUCCUACUCAUUCUACACAAAGCUAAAUCUUUGGUUUCCAAAUUAGUUUGGGCAUCCUCUGGCUAAAUGGAGGGGAAAAAAAAAAAAAAGGCAAACCCAUUCAGAGAAAAGCUGUCAGGAAGUAGCCGGGUUCAGGCACCGCGGACAACGGAUAUUGAGGAAAGCACACGUGGACAUGCACACAAAGAACUGACAAAGACUUUGAGUAUAUGAUUGCUAAGUUUAAUUCAACGGUUAUACCCAAUCCUGCCUUGUAAAAAGAACAAAAUUCCCCUAUCAAAACUAUAUUGUGAUGUGAGUACAGGCUUGUUUUUGAUAUAGCUCUAGAAAAAAGUUGGCACCAAAUGCACAUUAAAAAAGUUUUAAGGCUUAAUAAAAAUACAGGCUAAUAAUUUCAAAAUGCAGCUUAGAGGUUGAGAACAGAAUGCUAGGUUAAUAAAUUUCCAAACACAGGCAGUACCCGAUGUAUAGAGCAUUUUCCAAAUUAUUAAUGGCCACUUCCAUCAG